rnacentral:rRNA from 1 species
AUUGAACGCUGGCGGCAGGCCUAACACAUGCAAGUCGAACGAGUGGCGGACGGGUGAGUAAUGUCUGGGAAACUGCCCGAUGGAGGGGGAUAACUACUGGAAACGGUAGCUAAUACCGCAUACCAUCGGAUGUGCCCAGAUGGGAUUAGCUAGUAGGUGGGGUAACGGCUCACCUAGGCGACGAUCCCUAGCUGGUCUGAGAGGAUGACCAGCCACACGGGAACUUAGACACGGUCCAGACGCCUACGGGAGGCCGGAGUGGGGAAUAUUGCACAAUGGGCGCAAGCCUGAUGCAGCCAUGCCGCGUGUAUGAAGAAGGCCUUCGGGUUGUAAAGUACUUUCAGCGAGUAGGCGUUCCUCGCAGAAGAAGCACCGGCUAUCCCCGUGCCAGCAGCCGCGGUAAUUC